rnacentral:tRNA from 1 species
GCGUCCUUAGCUCAGUGGUAGAGCGCUUCCUCGACACGGAAGAGGCCAUAGGUUCAAUCCCUAUAGGACGCACCA